rnacentral:snoRNA from 1 species
UACAUGAUGAACAAACUAGCGUGAACAAUCUCUGACUGAUACAUAUAACGCUUGUAUCAAAGGAUUAAAAACCAUGUUGCCUUCCUUCUGAAU